rnacentral:rRNA from 1 species
GAUGAACGCUAGCGGGAGGCCUAACACAUGCAAGCCGAGCGGUAUUUGUUCUUCGGAACAGAGAGAGCGGCGCACGGGUGCGGAACACGUGUGCAACCUGCCUUUAUCUGGGGGAUAGCCUUUCGAAAGGAAGAUUAAUACCCCAUAAUAUAUUGAGUGGCAUCAUUUGAUAUUGAAAACUCCGGUGGAUAGAGAUGGGCACGCGCAAGAUUAGAUAGUUGGUGAGGUAACGGCUCACCAAGUCAAUGAUCUUUAGGGGGCCUGAGAGGGUGAUCCCCCACACUGGUACUGAGACACGGACCAGACUCCUACGGGAGGCAGCAGUGAGGAAUAUUGGACAAUGGGUUAGCGCCUGAUCCAGCCAUCCCGCGUGAAGGACGACGGCCCUAUGGGUUGUAAACUUCUUUUGUAUAGGGAUAAACCUACUCUCGUGAGAGUAGCUGAAGGUACUAUACGAAUAAGCACCGGCUAACUCCGUGCCAGCAGC